GGGUUGUGAGGUUAAGCGACUAAGCGUACACGGUGGAUGCCUAGGCAGUCAGAGGCGAUGAAGGGCGUGCUAAUCUGCGAAAAGCGUCGGUAAGGUGAUAUGAACCGUUAUAACCGACGAUACCCGAAUGGGGAAACCCAGUGCAAUUCGUUGCACUAUUGCAUGGUGAAUACAUAGCCAUGCAAGGCGAACCGGGGGAACUGAAACAUCUAAGUACCCCGAGGAAAAGAAAUCAACCGAGAUUCCCCCAGUAGCGGCGAGCGAACGGGGAGGAGCCCAGAACCUGAAUCAGCAUAUGUGUUAGUGGAAGCGUCUGGAAAGUCGCACGGUACAGGGUGAUAGUCCCGUACACAAAAAUGCAUAUGUUGUGAGUUCGAUGAGUAGGGCGGGACACGUGACAUCCUGUCUGAAUAUGGGGGGACCAUCCUCCAAGGCUAAAUACUCCUGACUGACCGAUAGUGAACCAGUACCGUGAGGGAAAGGCGAAAAGAACCCCGGCGAGGGGAGUGAAAUAGAACCUGAAACCGUGUACGUACAAGCAGUGGGAGCACCUUCGUGGUGUGACUGCGUACCUUUUGUAUAAUGGGUCAGCGACUUAUAUUUUGUAGCAAGGUUAACCGAAUAGGGGAGCCGUAGGGAAACCGAGUCUUAACUGGGCGAAUAGUUGCAAGGUAUAGACCCGAAACCCGGUGAUCUAGCCAUGGGCAGGUUGAAGGUUGGGUAACACUAACUGGAGGACCGAACCGACUAAUGUUGAAAAAUUAGCGGAUGACUUGUGGCUGGGGGUGAAAGGCCAAUCAAACCGGGAGAUAGCUGGUUCUCCCCGAAAGCUAUUUAGGUAGCGCCUCGUGAACUCAUCUUCGGGGGUAGAGCACUGUUUCGGCUAGGGGGUCAUCCCGACUUACCAAACCGAUGCAAACUCCGAAUACCGAAGAAUGUUAUCACGGGAGACACACGGCGGGUGCUAACGUCCGUCGUGAAGAGGGAAACAACCCAGACCGCCAGCUAAGGUCCCAAAGUCAUGGUUAAGUGGGAAACGAUGUGGGAAGGCAUAGACAGCCAGGAUGUUGGCUUAGAAGCAGCCAUCAUUUAAAGAAAGCGUAAUAGCUCACUGGUCGAGUCGGCCUGCGCGGAAGAUGUAACGGGGCUAAACCAUGCACCGAAGCUGCGGCAGCGACACUUAGGUGUUGUUGGGUAGGGGAGCGUUCUGUAAGCCGUUGAAGGUGACCUGUGAGGGUUGCUGGAGGUAUCAGAAGUGCGAAUGCUGACAUAAGUAACGAUAAUGCGGGUGAAAAACCCGCACGCCGGAAGACCAAGGGUUCCUGUCCAACGUUAAUCGGGGCAGGGUGAGUCGACCCCUAAGGCGAGGCUGAAAAGCGUAGUCGAUGGGAAACAGGUUAAUAUUCCUGUACUUGGUGUUACUGCGAAGGGGGGACGGAGAAGGCUAGGCUAGCCGGGCGACGGUUGUCCCGGUUUAAGCAUGUAGGCGGAGUGACUUGGUAAAUCCGGUUGCUUAUCAACGCUGAGGUGUGAUGACGAGCCACUACGGUGGUGAAGUAGUUGAUGCCAAGCUUCCAGGAAAAGCCUCUAAGCAUCAGGUAACAUUAAAUCGUACCCCAAACCGACACAGGUGGUCAGGUAGAGAAUACUCAGGCGCUUGAGAGAACUCGGGUGAAGGAACUAGGCAAAAUGGUGCCGUAACUUCGGGAGAAGGCACGCUGGCAUUAGGUAAAGAGACUUGCUCUCGGCGCCGAAGCCAGUCGCAGAUACCAGCUGGCUGCAACUGUUUAAUAAAAACACAGCACUGUGCAAACACGAAAGUGGACGUAUACGGUGUGACGCCUGCCCGGUGCUGGAAGGUUAAUUGAUGGGGUCAGCCGCAAGGCGAAGCUCUUGAUCGAAGCCCCAGUAAACGGCGGCCGUAACUAUAACGGUCCUAAGGUAGCGAAAUUCCUUGUCGGGUAAGUUCCGACCUGCACGAAUGGCGUAAUGAUGGCCAGGCUGUCUCCACCCGAGACUCAGUGAAAUUGAACUCGCUGUGAAGAUGCAGUGUACCCGCGGCAAGACGGAAAGACCCCGUGAACCUUUACUAUAGCUUGACACUGAACAUUGAGCCUUGAUGUGUAGGAUAGGUGGGAGGCAUCGAAGUGUGGACGCCAGUCUGCAUGGAGCCAACCUUGAAAUACCACCCUUUAAUGUUUGAUGUUCUAACUCGGCCCCGUGAUCCGGGGUGAGGACAGUGUCUGGUGGGUAGUUUGACUGGGGCGGUCUCCUCCCAAAGAGUAACGGAGGAGCACGAAGGUUAGCUAAUCACGGUCGGACAUCGUGAGGUUAGUGCAAAGGCAUAAGCUAGCUUGACUGCGAGAGUGACGGCUCGAGCAGGUACGAAAGUAGGUCUUAGUGAUCCGGUGGUUCUGAAUGGAAGGGCCAUCGCUCAACGGAUAAAAGGUACUCCGGGGAUAACAGGCUGAUACCGCCCAAGAGUUCAUAUCGACGGCGGUGUUUGGCACCUCGAUGUCGGCUCAUCACAUCCUGGGGCUGAAGUAGGUCCCAAGGGUAUGGCUGUUCGCCAUUUAAAGUGGUACGCGAGCUGGGUUUAGAACGUCGUGAGACAGUUCGGUCCCUAUCUGCCGUGGGCGUUGGAAGAUUGAGAGGGGCUGCUCCUAGUACGAGAGGACCGGAGUGGACGAAUCACUGGUGUUCGGGUUGUCAUGCCAAUGGCAUUGCCCGGUAGCUAAAUUCGGAAGAGAUAACCGCUGAAAGCAUCUAAGCGGGAAACUUGCCUCGAGAUGAGUCUUCCCUGGGGCUUUAAGCCCCCUGAAGGAACGUUAAAGACUAUGACGUUGAUAGGCUGGGUGUGUAAGUGCAGCGAUGCAUUGAGCUAACCAGUACUAAUGAUCCGUGAGGCUUAACCUUACAACACC
rnacentral:rRNA from 1 species